GCAAACUAGAACUCCCUGACCAGUCUAUGGAUUGUGUACUGGUGCCUGGGCUAAAGCCAAUCAUUUGUGGACAGAGGAGGAGCGGCAGCUGUGCAGCUCAGGAUCUGUCCAGAGGAGCUACCCAACGUCCAAGGUCAGGAGCAGCGGCUAUGCUUUGCUGGAGCAGCUGUGAAGAGAGGUAAAAGAAACCCAAGUGAGAAGAUGCUAUGCUCCUCCUCUCCCCUGCCCUGCCCUAUGAAGAAGAGUAAAGGAUGGAUGGAGCCGGAGAGUAGGGAGGGAUUUUCUCGUAAUUCAAAAGCCCAUGAAGAUCUCUAGACUACCAGGAUAAGAGGCCCUCAAGACACUGAAUCCUGGGGAAGAACUCAGAGAGAGAAGAGGCAAAGGCAAGUGAGCUGGAGGAGGAAAAGAAAGUACAUUUGGUUUGACUUGAUACAUGCACAGGCCCUCCAUAAGCUGCUUUCCCGUAGAA